AAAAUUUUUGGGACUCUUUCUUGACAUGAUAAAAACAUACAGACACUCACCUCUCUGAUGGAGAAGAAAACUAAAAAGCAUGAAAAGGAGGAAUAAACCCAAGACUUCCCCAAAGAAAGAACCUACGCUUAUGUCGUCUUCAACCUUCAGCCAUGACCUCUUCAUCUUCCUCUAUUAGUACAAAUACGCAAACACGCAGAUAGAAGGGAGAAACGGUGGAGAAAACAGAGGAGACGAUUUAUUGGAUUCUCCCUUCUCCUCUCAAAAGGGAGUAGAUAGGUAGCUAAAACACAAGAACCCAACAUGUAAGAUCCUAGAACUCAUUUUUCUCCAUUGUUUUCCUCUAUUUCUGCCAUGAAAACUUCCAUUAAACCACCAAAAAUCAGCUGUAACUGCUGCAAAUAGCGCAACAACAAUGACUACGAUAAACCUGCAACUUUCAGCCAUUAACGCCCACCCGAAACAGCGCCCGAAACUCCUCGGAACAGCAGUUUUGAAACAUUUCGAAGUCACUGCGUUUCAGCUCUAAAGACAAUGUCUAGCUCGUUUCUUCUCCGUUGGUUUUUCGACGAUUUCGGGGCUGUCGAAGAGGUGGUUCUCGAUCCUUGUUGAAGCGAGUCGAGGUCGACCUUUGAAGUCCCCGUUUUUGGUCUUGUUCGUGUUUUCACUUGAAAGCUUUAGUCGCAACUAUGUAAUCAAUUGGUUUCUUAAUGAAAAGGGAAAGCUUGCGCAUCAAAAGGUUCAUCCUCUCCUCUUAAAUUUAUUUUUUUCAUGAGUAGGUUAAUAUAAUGCAUUCGAUAAAUUUCAUAAAUUGUUUAGUUGCUCUAUUUCGAAAUCCUUGAGUUACUAUCUCUUGCUUCGAAUGGUGGAAUAUUUUUAUGUUCCAUUAAUUUGCU
rnacentral:lncRNA from 1 species